rnacentral:rRNA from 1 species
AGCGGCGGACGGGUGAGUAACGCGUGGGUAACCUGCCUCAUACAGGGGGAUAACAGUUGGAAACGGCUGCUAAUACCGCAUAAGCGCACAGUACCGCAUGGUACCGUGUGAAAAACUCCGGUGGUAUGAGAUGGACCCGCGUCUGAUUAGGUAGUUGGUGGGGUAACGGCCCACCAAGCCGACGAUCAGUAGCCGACCUGAGAGGGUGACCGGCCACAUUGGGACUGAGACACGGCCCAA